ensembl:snRNA U6 U6 spliceosomal RNA
GUGCUCACUUCAGCAGCACAUAUACUAAAAAUUGGAACAAUACAGAGAAGAUUAGCAUGGCCUCUGUGCAAGGAUGAAACUAUCUUUGAAAUUGGGAUGCAUGGAGUACUU